GACGAACGCUGGCGGCGUGCUUAACACAUGCAAGUCGAACGGAGCUAUUUAUUUCGGUAGAUAGCUUAGUGGCAAACGGGUGAGUAACGCGUAGGCAACCUGCCCUCAGGAUGGGGACAACGGCUCGAAAGAGCCGCUAAUACCGAAUGACGUAACUCUUCCACAUGGAAGAGAUACUAAAGAUGGGUCAAACCAUCGCCUAAGGAUGGGCCUGCGUCUGAUUAGCCAGUUGGUGAGGUAACGGCUCACCAAAGCGACGAUCAGUAGCCGGUCUGAGAGGAUGAAUGGCCACAAUGGGACUGAGACACGGCCCAUACUCCUACGGGAGGCAGCAGUGGGGAAUCUUCCGCAAUGGGCGAAAGCCUGACGGAGCAACGCCGCGUGAGUGAAGAAGGUCUUCGGAUCGUAAAGCUCUGUUGUCGGGGACGAAAGAGUAGACGAGGAAAUGCGUCUACUAAGACGGUACCCGACGAGGAAGCCACGGCU
rnacentral:rRNA from 1 species